UUAAAGAGAUAAAAUAAAAUAAAAUAAAAUAAGUAAAAUACGAAAAAACAACAAAUGUUAACAUAUUUUUUCAAUAGGGUUUCUUGCAAGUAUGAAUCUAAGUGCUGCCACUACUUGAUGUUUACCAAAGACUAUCCUAAUUAUCGAUUUGGUCGUAUUCUCUUUAAUGAGUUGGUUGAAUGUUAAAUAAAUUUCGAUUUUUGCAUUGUCAUUUGUGUUCAUAGUUCCAACUAACAUUACACCAUGAAAACUGACAGUCUUCAUAAAGAUACGAUGCUCUAUUGAUUAUUUGCCGCAAAACGGAAGUUUCUAAUUUCUAAAAAUCGUCAUUUAUAGAUGAACAACGCAGAGAAAAUUACAGUUUAUCUUCUACUAAAGUAUUUAGGGAAAGGUCUACACCUGCACCAACGAUUUGUUGCAAAAUCUUUUUUUUCAUCCUUCACGGGAUACUACGUUAGUAGUUACUCGGACAAUUUCACCAUAACCAGCAUGGCUAAAGAUUCUUUCACUCUUUAGCAUCCUUCCGUUAAUGUAAAAUGCAGCUAUGCAUGUGCAAUAUACACACGGUACUGUUGCUGCAUUUUCUGAACUGCAACUAUCAAGUUCAGUUCAGGAGAAGAAUUAACAAAAAUUUGGUCUAAUUUAGUUUGUCUUCGGUGAUACAAUGUUUGCAGUUUAAAGGACUACUUUUUAAUUGCAUCACAUUGUUUGAUUCCGGAAAUCAGCGAAUCUGGAAAGAACAACUUUUUCUCCAUG